AUUGAAUGGCUUAGUGAGGCCUCCGGAUCGGCUUUGGGGAGUCGGCGACGACACCCCGUCGCUGAGAAGUUGGUCAAACUUGGUCAUUUAGAGGAAGUAAAAGUCGUAACAAGGUUUCCGUAGGUGAACCUGCGGAAGGAUCAUUAUCGUACUACAGAGGUGCAAGGGUUGUCGCUGACCUUUCCAAAAGGUCGUGCACGCCCGAGCGCUCUCAAUCCAUUUCACCCCUUGUGCAUCACCGCGCGGGGUCGCUCCCUCUUGGCUUGCUUCGAGAGGGGGAGGCUCGCGUUUUUCACACAUAAACACCCUUCCAGUUUAGAAUGUCAUUCAUUUGCGAUCACACGCAAUCAAUACAACUUUCAACAACGGAUCUCUUGGCUCUCGCAUCGAUGAAGAACGCAGCGAAAUGCGAUACGUAAUGUGAAUUGCAGAAUUCAGUGAAUCAUCGAAUCUUUGAACGCAUCUUGCGCCCCUUGGUAUUCCGAGGGGCACACCCGUUUGAGUGUCGUGAAAUUCUCAAACCUUCUUGGUUUCUCGAUCAAGAUGGCUUUGGACUUUGGAGGCAUUUUGCUGGCUUUGCGAAAAGCCAGCUCCUCUUAAAUACAUUAGUGGGGUCCCCUUUGCCGAUCCCCAGGCGUGAUAAGAUGUUUCUACGUCUUGGGGAUUUGCUCUGUUCCUUGGGAACCCGCUUAUAACCGUCUCAUGGGAGACAUCGUUCGAGCAUGCUCGACCCACGAACCUUGACCUCAAAUCGGGUGAGACUACCCGCUGAACUUAAGCAUAUCAAUAAGCGGAGGAAAAGAAACUAACAAGGAUUCCCCUAGUAACUGCGAGUGAAGCGGGAAAAGCUCAAAUUUAAAAUCUGGUGGCCUUUGGUCAUCCGAGUUGUAAUUUAGAGAAGCGUCUUCCGCGCUGGA
rnacentral:rRNA from 1 species